rnacentral:rRNA from 1 species
AACGAACGCUGGCGGCGUGGAUAAGACAUGCAAGUCGAACGGGAUUUUAUUUGUAGCAAUACACGUAAAGUCUAGUGGCGUAAGGGUGCGUAACACGUGGGGAAUCUGCCGAGAAGUGGGGGAUAGCUCGCCGAAAGGCGAAUUAAUACCGCAUGUGGUUAGUGAAGACAUCUUCGCGAUACCAAAGCCGGGGCAACCUGGCGCUUCUUGAUGACCCCGCGGCCUAUCAGUUAGUUGGUGAGGUAACGGCUCACCAAGGCUAUGACGGGUAGCUGGUCUGAGAGGACGACCAGCCACACUGGAACUGAGACACGGUCCAGACACCUACGGGUGGCAGCAGUCGAGAAUUUUUCUCAAUGGGGGAAACCCUGAAGGAGCGACGCCGCGUGGAGGAUGAAGGUCUUCGGAUUGUAAACUCCUGUCAUUUGGGAACAAUUGCCACCGGUUAACUGCCGGGGGCUUGAUAGUACCAGAAGAGGAAGAGACGGCUAACUCUGUGCCAGCAGCCGCAGUAAAAC